AUUCUACUCCCUCCGUUGCACAAUACAUGCCUUCUAUUUGUCAAAAUAUAUAUGUAUCUAGACAUGUUUUAGUAUAUAGGUACAUCCAUUUUUGGACAAAUGGAAGUCAAGUAUUUUGGAACGGAGGGAUUACACA
rnacentral:pre_miRNA from 1 species